GACGAACGCUGGCGGCGCGCUUAACACAUGCAAGUCGAACGGAAAGGCCUGCUUUCCCUUGUGGAUUGCGGGUACUCGAGUGGCGAACGGGUGAGUAACACGUGAGUGAUCUGCCCCCAACUUGGGUAUAAGCCUGGGAAACUGGGUCUAAUUCCCGAUAGGACUGCAGGGUGGCGCCUGUGGUGGAAAACGAUUUUCUAGUGGUUGGGGAUGAGCUCGCGGCCUAUCAGCUUGUUGGUGGGGUAAUGGCCUACCAAGGCGGCGACGGGUAGCCGGCCUGAGAGGGUGGACGGCCACAUUGGGACUGAGAUACGGCCCAGACUCCUACGGGAGGCAGCAGUGGGGAAUAUUGCACGAUGGGCGGAAGCCUGAUGCAGCGACGCCGCGUGGGGGAUGACGGCCUUCGGGUUGUAAACUCCUUUCGACCGCGAGGAAGCCACCUGGUUGGAAGGGUGGUGACGGUAGUGGUAGAAGAAGCACCGGCUAACUACGUG
rnacentral:rRNA from 1 species